CAGGUGAUGAGUGAGCAUCUGAAAUGUGGCUGCUGUGAACCCAGGUGUUCUCUAAAUAUAAAACUCCUGGAAAGCAGGCCUCCCAAAGUACAGCAAAGGAUGCAGAUCUCCUGACACCCCACGCGAAGCCGAAGGGGUCGGGGCCAAACGCGGUUGGAAAGAGCCCCGGCAGAGUUCCACUGGGGAUUUGAAAAGAGAAAUGUGUGCCCGCAGGACUCCUACCUCGUCCUUUUUAAACUUGGCCUCACAGCAGUGAUGGUGUCAAGCAAGUACUAUUCAGCAGGUCCAGCAAGCCUAGUGUGUAAGGACUGGAACAGCUGCAUGGGACAAAGGAACACCCUGUGGAAAAGUGGUGCAAAGCCUGAGACCCUCAGUCCAAAGGACUCAUAUUCAUGGCUAAACCAAGGAUCUCGUGAUGGGCUGAACUGCACCAGCUCCAGUGCCUUGCUCACUUCCCACAGAUGAGGCCAACCAUGGGGUAGUCACAUCUUAUCAGCUUUUAUGAGGGGACAGUGGUACAGUCAACAGCAAGAUGGCAGAAUCCUGGUUGUCCCUGUGUUGGGUAAACCUCCUAAGAGCUUCCCUAAGAGGGAAGAUGGGUUUGAAAUCCUUGAAUGAAUUCAUGCUCUUUUCUUGAAAUACACUGAGUGGUAACUUC